CUAACAUAUGGGUAAUUUUUCCAGGAAACCUCGGCAAUAGCGUCACAAGCAAAGGACAAACUUCUUGAGCGUGGAGAAAAACUCGAGAGAAUAAGCCAACGCACAGCUGAGCUUCAAGACGGGGCUGAGAACUUUGCAUCUAUGGCACAUGAACUUGCUAAACAAAUGGAGAAGCGAAAAUGGUGGAACAUAUGAGAAAAUUGCAGUCAUUGUGGGUUCUUUCGUAUAUAAUAAAUUAAUUAUCUUUUGUUUCCCACAGGUGAAAAAACUCUCUUUCACAAUUUUUAUCAAUCAAAUCUUGUAAAAUAGAUUGACCAAAAGGGAACACAACCCUUCUAACUUGAGAAGUUGCUUGUGAGCUUUCGUUCCCUUAUUUAUGAGGAGGAUGCUGUAACUGUCUUUCAGAAUUUUUUAAGUCAAAAAAUAAACUCAUUGCUUUAAAUA